rnacentral:rRNA from 1 species
GAUGAACGCUAGCGGGAGGCCUCAAAAAUACAAGCCGAGCGGUAUAUAUUCUUAGGAAACACACACAAGGAAAAAAGAUGAAGAACACAUAUGCACCCUGCCUUAACCUAGGGGAUAGCCUUUCGCACGGAAGAUUAAUACCCCAUAAUAUAUUGAGUGGCAUCAUUUGAUAUUGAAAACUCCGGUGGAUAGAGAUGGGCACGCGCAAGAUUAGAUAGUUGGUGAGGUAACGGCUCACCAAGUCAAUGAUCUUUAGGGGGCCUGAGAGGGUGAUCCCCCACACUGGUACUGAGACACGGACCAGACUCCUACGGGAGGCAGCAGUGAGGAAUAUUGGACUAUGGGUUAGCGCCUGAUCCAGCCACCCCGCGUGAAGGACGACGGCCCUAUGGGUUGUAAACUUCUUUUGUGUGGGGAUAAACCUACUCUCGUGAGAGUAGCUGAAGGUACUAUACGAAUAAGCACCGGCUAACUCCGUG